rnacentral:lncRNA from 1 species
UUAGCAGUGUAUUCUUCUACACUUUAAAAUAGAACAAAAUAUCUUUUUUUGAAGGUAAACUAUUCAUAACAAAAUACAUGUCAAAUGAUUUUUAUUAUUGGAGUAGAAUCGCUUUGCUAUAUACUUUCUAUAUUAUACACAUAUACUUCGUGGUUUGUCUAUGUAUGUACAUGUGUAUAAAUAAUUUUAAGACAUACCCAUGUAGAUACAUAUAACUAAUAUACACACAUAAUUAUGGAAAAUUUACAGUAGUCAAAUUUACAAUCAUUUCAUAGCUGCGCAUGAAUCAGUGUUCAUAGAACUGAAUCUGUCAAUAUGGUUCCCUUUCUCCCACUUCUCAAAUGUUAUCUGAAUUACUUUUCACUGAUAAUUUAAAAAAAAAAUACUAUCCUCUUCCUAUACAAUUAACCAAUCAUUUAUUACAAUAACUCAUAAUAAAAUAUUUUACUAUUUCAGCUUUAAAAAGGUACACAGUUGAAUUCCACCUAAUUUUUGAUUCCUAAAACAUACAAUUCAUUUUUUUCAUCAGCUUAGUGCAAUUAUUUGGUACUGCAGUUUUUGAAGGUUAAGUUAAUGAGCCUGAGUCAAAAUUCUUUCAAAUGCCUUUUUUAAAAUAUAAAAUAUAAACAAGAUGUUUUGCUGAAGCCAUGUACGACAGUCUCAAGGUACCCCUUCUAAUAAAUACACUAUAAAUAAUUCAAUGGUUGAGAGUAAAGCACUUCAUAUGAAUCCAUUUGACUGUCUCUGAGAAGUCCAUUCUUAAGCAGCGUGGAAGACAAUUAGGGUCUAAGACUCCCCAGCUCCCCAUGGGAAAGAAGCUUAUAGGCUUUUGGAGCCUAAAUAUAAGGUUACACUUGCAUGAAAGGGCUGUGAGGUACCUAUGAGCCCCUUCAUUUUCAUGUUAGGUUUCAGACAUGCUAGCUUGCGUGUCGUUAGUUAUCUAUUUUAAACUUCUUUCCUUUAAUACAUAGAACUACUUAGCAGCAUCUUUUUUCAGAUUUUGUCCUCUUCCUUGAUUGAAAACUGGUGCCAGACCACGUGUGAAUACAGGCAAAAACCUCGUACCAAAAUCUGAAUAUUCUAAAUGGGUUAAGAAUUUCUUCUGAGAGGAGGAAAGAAAGAAAAGCAUUUGGACUCUUGAGUCAUUUCAUAGAGAAAUAUCGUGCUUUCACAGAGAAAAAAAUAUUCAGUGACUUCUGAUCUGCAGCUGGAUGUUAAAUUUUAUGAAAGCCCCCAAAGAUGCAAAACCAAAUGGCUCAGCAACAAAAACAAAGGGAAAGGACAUGGCCUAAAGAAGCCACCUCAGAAGACUACACUCUCCCCGGCCAUAAACUUGGAUAAACUUGGUAAGUUACACUGACUUCCCAAAAGAAUGAACGGAUCUGCCAUCUUCAGAGUGGGAACAUGAAAAGCACGUUCUAAAAACGGUCUCCCUUACUUUUCCUUAAUAAAGAGAAUUACUUAUUCAUUGUACAUAAAACCAUACUUAACAGAUUCAAAAUACAAAUUUUGGUAGCAAACAGCAAGAAAAUCUAAGUCAAAAUAGAGUCUCAUUUUUACAUAAUUUUAUAUAUUUAUAAAUGUAUCAAAAUAGUCUUUUAAAGUUCACAAUACAUACAUACUGUAACACUGUACACGUAAAUGUAGUAACAAAUGUAUUACCGAAAUACAUUAAAAAUAACCUUUCCAAAUACCAAAUUCAGCAUGAAAACUGUCUUAAAAAGAGUUGACAUCUCCAUAAACAUUGUUUCAGUGCAUUUAUAGUAGUCAUUAAGCAGGGCUUUCUGGUUUCAAGUCUCCUGAAGGUCUUAUCUUAGUGCUCGCUUUAAGUUAAGGUAAGGAGGCAGAGACAGUCUUCCGACACGCAGUUGUUUUCUUUCUCUCUACUUUGCUCGUCCAGACGAAGAAACUGUGUCCAAGAGUGGAACAGCUUUCACCGGAGUGGCAAAGGCCUUAGUAGGGAACAUAUUCAGACUGAAGGGACUGUGCAGGGGAGAGACAUAAACUGAGGUUAAAUUCCACCACGCACAAAAUUCCUCCUACGCCAUUCAGCUUCUUCCUUCAACGCAAGGCAGUUUGGGUCUAUUUACAUAAAAGAUAAAUGAAAUAAACUAAGAAAAACUGCAAAAAGAUGAGGAAAACAAAGCAUUUGCUAAGAAUGAGAUAUUCAAUGAGGUAAAGUGAUUACAAGAACACUUUGUAUUUUAAAAGGCUUACUGCUUUAAUACUAGUGAUCAAAAAUUAUUUGGAAAUUGGUAGGUAGCACUAAACUUGCUUCUAAGCUUUUGUGCAAUACUAUUGAGCAUUACUCCAAAACGUUAAAUGAUAUUUGUAAUGCAGUUAAAAAUUAUUAGAGUAUACUUUAAGAAAUAUAUACUUUUUAAUUUAAUUCAAUACAUAUCAAAUGAAUGCUAAUGCUUCUACUGCAGUAGAAUUAGCCACCAUUUAAACAGAUUCCUUAAGAAUGUCUGAAUUUUAAAAAUACCAUACAAAUCCUCUCCAUUUAGAGGGACACAAAACACUUUUCGCUUUGAAAUCUGAUCUUCAGACCCAAAAAGCUCUUGUGCAGAAAAGCCUUGCAGUCAUAACAUAAUAAACAGUGAGCAACUUUCAAGAAAAAUAAACAAUGCAAGUUCCUCCCACAUCGAAUUAGAUAAUGACACAUCAAAGGAGCAUGCUUGGGGCAUGUAAUCAGACUGCCUUGAUAACAGACGUGAACCAGGAGAAGAUAAAGAGAGAUCAAGAAAACCUGCCCAACAGUUAUUUUUGAGCACCAAAGAACAGUUAGAAAGAAGAAACAUAAAUCAGUCUAAACAUUAACAAUUUUCUCUGCACAAUUCUUCUAAUCAAAUACCUUAGAAAAACAAGGUUACUCGAUUUGCUCCCAAACACCCUUUUUUCCUCUUCCAAUAAUUAUUUUUCAAAUUGAUCUGCAGCAUUUUAUGAAUAGGUCAUCAAUCCUGAGAUUGGUCCAUUUUGUUGAUAGUUUAGCUAUCAGUAAAAAAGAAUCUGUGCAUUUCGCAAAUAAUUUACAGGAGGAUUCAAACUAUCUCUGAUCAGCUUCAAAAUCCCAGUGCAUUUUACACCCUAUCAACAGCCAUUUACUACGUAAGUAUCUAUCAACACCGCAAAUCAAAAAUUAUGGUCCCUGCCCUCAAAGAGCAAAUGACUGUACUUCACACAGAUAUAAAAUGAAAAGACAAAGGUGUCAACAUUAAAUAAUAAUAUACACGGAGUAAGAGUAACAUUGUGCAUAAGCAAAGGAUUAGGCUAGGAGUGGGAAGAGAGGGUUGUUGGGGGAGGCAUGUUCUCAAGUUUCAGGGAAGAGGUUAAACGUCAAGAGCAGCUGGGAAGAAAGAAAAAGGCUAAGUUGACUUUCUCACUACAGAUGUAUGGAGUUUAUGCCAAGGCUUCACAACAGGAGAAGUGAUCAAGACUUAGGAAACCAUAAUGCAAACAUACCUGAAUGUACAGAGAGAAUAAAAUAAGUUAGAUUUUGAGAAAGUCCAGGGAAAGCGGUCCAAUGCCUUGAAGCCUUUUACUCGUGGGACAUCGGCUGCCAUCCUAGCAAUCAGAACUUAAAAGUGGACCAUCAUUUUUCUAGGUGCUUUUUCCCAGUUUGUUCUGAAAUCGGGCCAGCAGGCAGAGAAAGCCGAGCAGGAGGUCCCGCCAGCGGCAAGAGGGCCAUACAUGCAUUUUAUAAAUUGGCCAAUACUUUCUUGGGAAUAUUUAACUUUUGCUUUUGUUCUAAUUAGAAAAAGUUAUUCAAAGUCUAUCACUAAGAGAAAUGAUAAAGCUCCUCUGAUUGCUUGUAAAUUUUGAACAAAGUUGUUUUUGCAAGCGCUUCUAAAGUUCCGUCAAUUCUCCACAAACAGAAAGCAAACGAACAGAUACUGGACAAGUGACCUAUGUUAAACCAACUUUCUUCCAGGGAAAACUAUUUUAUAUGUGUAUCAGCAUAUAGGGGGUAGAUAUGUGUGUAUGUAUAUUUAUUUGUUUUAUGGAAUCAUGACACCCACUGAACUGGAAAAACAGAAAUAGUCUAGAAUACUAAGGAUUUCAAUCAUUCAUGUGAAGUAUCUAUUUAUUAGUCUCUGGCAGACGCCUUUCCUACCCACAGCAGAGGUCAGAAACUCUGGCUGGUGUUUAAUCCACCCUUCAGAGUCAGAUGACCACAAUCUCCAUGGCUUCCUUUGCCACCCACCCAAUUUGCUCUCUUCUGCUGCCUUACUGGCUCUGCAAGGCUCUGUAAACAAAUGAAGACAUAAUUUGGCCAAAGACUGAAUCUUCUGUCAUGCUAGUUAAUUCAUUCAACACAAUUACUGAACAUCAAUAGCAUAUAUUAAGCACAAGUGGGAUAAAAAUAGAUACCAAAGUUCACAAAACCAAAUGUGUUGUGUGAUUUCUUUAUAUGGUGUAAAAAAAGUUAAAGGAAAUGAAAGAUAAGUGGAAAGGGCUUAGCGACUUAUUCUGACAUCAGUAUACUGUAACAAAUUAACUUCCUUUUAUUGUCAAUCUAAAACUAAAAUCUUAAAGGGAGUGGAUUUGCAGAAGAGAGAGAAUUGUUGAAGUCUACUGGACCUAUUCACUCUUUAAAAAACUGUAACUAAUAUUUCAAGGUCUUCUCACUGGGCAAGCAAUAGUGGCAGCAACAUUUAGAUUUCAAGCACCACAGCCUUAUAUGAUAGAGUUGUAUUAAGGGUAUCUGGUUCAUUUAUUUUCCAAAUGAACAUCUAUCCUAAAGUUACUGAUAUCCCAGAAAACACAAUAACACAGCUAUUAGAACUUCUAAUUUUCAGAGUAAAAUGCAAAUGUAUUUUGUACUCCAUAAACAAUAUCAUUAGUGACAUUUAUUAUUCAAAAAAUAUUAAUUGAGGUAUAACUAUGUGAGAUUCUUGAUAAAUUAGGCAUAUAACUUAACAAAUCAAUUAUUCUGUUGAAAGAGACCUAUUGUGUACUUUCUACACACCAGGCACAUUUCUAAACAUUUUAUAUGUAUUAACUCAUUAAAGGCUUUCAACAAUUCAUUUUACAAAUGGGGAAUUUGAGGCACAAAGCAAUAAAGUAACUUGCUCAAGAUCAUGUAAUUAGGAAGGAAUUUGAACUCCAGGGGUCUGGCUGUAAAGCCCAAACUCAGCUACCAAAAUAUAAUGCCACAAGACACCGCUAUCAUUUGUCCUGUGAUCACCACACAUUCAGUUGAAUAUCUUCAUCACCUGACACAGACAAAUAAUGAGCAGGGUAUGACCCUGAGUGAGCAACAAAAUAUUAAAAUACAAAAAGGAAUGUAAUAUUUAUUACUGUAAAGAAGAUAUACAUCUUUUAAAUGAUUUUCAAUAGAACUGAAUUCAGAAGAAUUUUUAGGAAUACUCUACAAGACAAUUUUCUUUAUAAGAACAUGCAUGUUUAAAUAUUCUGAUUAGAGUUCCCUGGUAGCCUAGUGGAUUAAGGACCUGGCAUUGUCACUGCUGUGGCUUGGGUUAGAGCUGUGGCAUAGGUUUGAUCCCUGGCCCAGGAACUUCCACAUGCCACAGGCAUGGCCAAAAAAAAAAAAAAAUUCUGAUUAAAGUUUUAAAUCUGCUUGGCCAAUCUUUUUAAAUCAUUACCAUAAGAAUUGACACCUAAGGUAUCUGCAACACAAAGAAAUAAAAACCCUUAGCAAUGACAAUCAUAGGUUUAUUAAGGAAGUGAAGUGCAAGAUAUAAAUAUUAUUUAACAAAGUAAUUUAUAAACAAGAGAUUUUUUUUUUUUCUUUUUUGGCCCCCCCCAUGGCAUAUGGAGUUCCUGGACCAGGGAUCAGAUCCAAGUCAUAGCUGCGACCUAAGCCACAGCUGCAGCAAUGCUGGAUCCUUAUAACUCACUGUGCCGAGCCAGGGACUGAACCUGCAUCCCAGCGCUCCCAAGAUGCUGCUGAUCCCGUUGUACCACAGCAGAAAGUCCUAGCCGAGAGAUUUUAAUUUCUCAAAUAGAAUAUUCAAGUUCAUGUGGUCGUUAAGUUUAACAGAGUUAUGGUGAGUUAAGACCAGAUCAAGUUUAUCAUGAUUAGUGGUAUUUUUACAGUGUGAAUACCACAAACUUGUAAUAUGGUAAUAUUCAGCCUGCAAAAGAAGGAUAAAAUUACCUUAUACUUGCAGCCCCUCAAAUUUUUAUGUCAAAAUAUAAGCUCCCAUCAAGAAUCCUUGCUCUGAAAGCAGUUGGAUUUGACAUAAAACAAAGUGUUAGGUAAGGAGAGCAAGACAAUUUGUUCUGUUCUGGAAAUUUGCUACUAAUCUGUUUUGGCAGCUGUGGGUAGUGACUUUAAAAUUUUAGCUAUUCUGGGGGUGUUUCUUUUUUAAACAGCCCAGUUACCUAAUCAGGGGUAGAAAAAAAUGUCUAAUAAUUAUAAACACUAUACGAAUAGUUAAUAAAUAAAACUAUAAAUUGUCUAGCAAAAACAGUAAAUUGUAAAGAAUAAUAAAAGUUAAGGUCUCUGCCAGCAAAUGAAAGAAAUAAUGUCUCAAUGUUCAAACAACUUGGACCAAAGGACCCUAUGAUCUGGACCGUUAGUUUCCUAGCAGGUCAAAAUCCUGACUCAAAAUCACCAUGUGCUUUUGCCACACUGACUUUUUCCUUCCUGGAUGUCCCCAUUUUUCUAAGACCCUUAGAAAAGAAAAAAAAAAAAUAGUCUACUAGUUAUAACUACAGAGGCAAAAAGCACCUUAAAAAGUGAUGUGUUGCAUACUGCUGUACACCUGAAACCAACACAAUGCUGUAAAUCAACUAUACUUCGACUUUUUAAAAAGGGAUUUGUUUUCAUGGCAUCCUUGAUAAUUAAAAGAGAAAAACAUAUAUUUGGAAAUAUGGUAUCUUAUCUAUAACUCCAUUGUUUCAAGUUUUAAUGAACAAAUGAGGAAAAAAUAAACACUGAGGGAAAAUGUUUGUCUAUAACUGCCUCUAUAUUCCUGAGUCUUUCAUGGCUUUGCAAUGGAGUUUCCAGGUGUGUGGCUUGUAAGUUAACCAAACAGAAAAUGUAAGCAUUGAUACAUAUUUCCACAAAUGCAGUUUCACGAUACUACUGAAAGUGUUUGCCUCUGCUAACGUGAUAACACUUCUGCAAUGGCACUAGCAGAAGCAUAACUGGAUGAAGUUUUAUUGGCAUCAAAUUAACACAAAGAGCUAAGGUUUGUGAAAAAAUCAGUUUUGAAAGAGGUGUGAACAUUUGUCUGUAGUGUUUUCUAAGCAUUUCAGGGACCCCAAUUCUGGCUAACUAAAAUGCUGUAUAUUCUUUCGCCUUCCUACAUAACUUUUAUUUAUUUAUUUAUUUUUAUUUUUUUUGUCUUUUUGCCUUUUCUAGGGCCGCUCCCGCGGCAUAUGGAGGUUCCCAGGCUAGGGGUCCAAUCGGAGCUGUAGC